rnacentral:rRNA from 1 species
AGCUUGCUCCUGGUGGCGAGUGGCGAACGGGUGAGUAAUAUAUCGGAACGUGCCCUUGAGUGGGGGAUAACUAGUCGAAAGAUUAGCUAAUACCGCAUACGAUCUGGGGAUGAAAGUGGGGGCUCGCAAGACCUCACGCUCGUGGAGCGGCCGAUAUCUGAUUAGCUAGUUGGUGGGGUAAAGGCUCACCAAGGCGACGAUCAGUAGCUGGUCUGAGAGGACGGCCAGCCACACUGGAACUGAGAGACGGUCCAGACUCCUACGGGAGGCAGCAGUGGGGAAUUUUGGACAAUGGGCGCAAGCCUGAUCCAGCAAUGCCGCGUGAGUGAAGAAGGCCUUCGGGUUGUAAAGCUCUUUUGUCAGGGAAGAAACGGUGGAGGUUAAUACCCUUUACUAAUGACGGUACCUGAAGAAUAAGCACCGGCUAACUACGUGCCAGCAGCCGCGGUAAUACGUAGGGUGCGAGCGUUAAUCGGAAUUACUGGGCGUAAAGUGUGCGCAGGCGGUUGUGCAAGACAGAUGUGAAAUCCCCGGGCUCAACCCUGGAAUUGCAUUUGUGACUGCACGGCUAGAGUGUGUCAGAGGGGGGUAGAAUUCCACGUGUAGCAGUGAAAUGCGUAGAUAUGUGGAGGAAUACCGA